AAUUCAUCUCCUCAAAAUGAUGUGUCCUGUCCAGUCCCUGUUUCUGCUAAUGUUCUGGAUUCUGGGAACCAGUGGUGAUGCUGUGCUGACCCAGACUCCACUCUCUUUGUCAGUUUCCACUGGACAGUCAGCUUCCAUCUCUUGCCAGUCAAGUCAGAGCCUCUUAGAUAGUGAUGGAAAAACCUAUUUGAAUUGGUUGCUACAGAGACCAGGACAGUCUCCCCAGCGUCUAAUUUCUCAGGUGUCCAAACUUGACACUGGAGUCCCUGAUAGGUUCAGUGGCAGUGGGUCUGGGACAGAUUUCACUCUCAAAAUCAGCAGAGUGGAGGCUGAGGAUGUGGGAGUUUAUUACUGCCUCCAAGGUACACAUGUUCCUCCCACAGUGAUGCAGACCUUAACAAAAACCUCCUUGCUUGGGAGGCCCAGCUGCAAUGGGCUGCCUGACUGGACAGGAGCAGUCACUCUGCAUCACUGUGAGAGGCAGGCACAAGGGAAUUUGGGCAAUUGUUUGCAGCUGAGACCUCAGCUGGAUGAAUGGUUUGGCUUGACCUCAAGUGACACCAAUUUCUGGGCCUUCAGCUGUAACAGCAAUGGUAAUGUCUCUGCAUUAGAAGAAUUUCAUCUCCUUAAUUUAUUUUAUUGUUGA